AAGUAUGCCAAUUACAAAUGGACUGAACAUUGUGAAUUGUAUUUCUUACUCGAUAAUUGUUCUUAUUGUAUAUAGUUUUAUUAUGUUAGAGUUAAAACCUUUCCUUUUUAUUUAGACAAAAAGGGGAAAUGUUGUGGGAUAUU